ACGGGAGGCAGCAGUGGGGAAUAUUGCACAAUGGGCGCAAGCCUGAUGCAGCGAUGCCGCGUGAGGGAAGAAGGUUUUCGGAUUGUAAACCUCUGUCAACAGGGACGAAAAUGACGGUACCUGUGAAGGAAGCUCCGGCUAACUACGUGCCAGCAGCCGCGGUAGUACGUAGGGAGCAAGCGUUAUCCGGAAUUACUGGGUGUAAAGGGAGUGUAGGCGGGACUGUAAGUCAGAUGUGAAAUAUGCCGGCUCAACUGGCAGACUGCAUUUGAAACUGCGGUUCUUGAGUGAAGUAGAGGUAAGCGGAAUUCCUAGUGUAGCGGUGAAAUGCGUAGAUAUUGGGAGGAACACCAGUGGCGAAGGCGAUUUACUGGACGGCAACUGACGCUGAGACACGAAAGUGUGGGGAGCAAACAGGAUUAGAUACCCUGGUA
rnacentral:rRNA from 1 species